UUUUGAUAGCUCACCAUGCAAUAUCUCAAUAUCUUGACAUUUCGUACUUUGUUUAUUUUCCUUGUUCGUCCUCCUUGAUUCUUGCAGCUCUGUCUACUAUCCUAGACUUUAAAAAGAUCAACAAUUAAUUUAAAAUGUUCUAUGCUAGUCUAGUAAAUUUGUUUUUGGCCAGACUGGACUCACUUACAACCAAAGACUACUGAGACUAAAUUUAACUAGCAUGAGCUAUUGUUUCUUAUGUAAUGACAUGGCAGAAACUUACAAAUGCAUUCACAAUCUUUAUAAUUGUAGUUGCAACCCUUUUGUUUCCUCAUAAAAUACCAUUCAGUAUUUUAUCUAUUAACACCUGUGUCAGAAUGAUGUCAUCUGCACAGCCAUUAUAUUUAUUAUUGUAAUUACAGACUAUUAAGUAGUUAAUCUGAGUUGUAAUAGCAUGCGUGUUAAUAUGGCCACUUCUUAAUAUCAAUAUAUGAUUAUAUAUUUAGUUAGUAUUUAUUCCUCCAUUAUGACUAACUCCAACUUAACAACAUGCAAUCAUUCUUAUAAAUUGAAAAAAAUGUUUUGUUAGACAGAUGUCCGGAAAAAACAUUUCUAAUAUGGAAUUCACAAAUUUGUAGAAUAGUCUACCAUCUGAAAUAGUGUUCAACAUCUGUCACAACAUUAAAAAAACAUCUAGAUGCAUCUUGGGUUCAUCAAAUGUACAAUUGCAAAAUGCUUAUGCACCGUUAAACUGAAGGUGGUAAUAAAGUUUACAAAAUUUGCUGUGGCUGAUUUUUUCAAUGAAAAAAAAAUAUGUGUGCUAUGAAUGUAAUCUGUUUUUCAUGGCGUAUCAAUGAAAGUUUGGUGUAUUGGCCAAAUCACUUGCAAGCAUAUAAGCAACUGCCAUACGUAAAGUCACGCCUUUAAAAGUAACUGAAAUCAGCUGAAAAUAAGAAUUUUUUGAUGAACUUUCUUACUUCGGUUGGAGAAGAUGAGAAACAACUUACAGUGGCAAUCUUAAUACAGCUAAUGGCCAAAGAAGUAUGUUUUUCAUACUCAGUGUAUGGAAUGAAACAAAAACGUCCUGCAAGGUCGUUAUAGAGUUGCGUUUAGUCGUUUAUCGUUGUAUUCGUUCAUUUCGAAAUCGCUACUGACAAAAGUAUUAAA